rnacentral:rRNA from 1 species
CGUGAGGGAUGACGGCCUUCGGGUUGUAAACCUCUUUCAGCAGGGNAGAAGCGAAAGUGACGGUACCUGCAGAAGAAGCGCCGGCUAACUACGUGCCAGCAGCCGCGGUAAUACGUAGGGCGCAAGCGUUGUCCGGAAUUAUUGGGCGUAAAGAGCUCGUAGGCGGCUUGUCACGUCGGGUGUGAAAGCCCGGGGCUUAACCCCGGGUCUGCAUUCGAUACGGGCUAGCUAGAGUGUGGUAGGGGAGAUCGGAAUUCCUGGUGUAGCGGUGAAAUGCGCAGAUAUCAGGAGGAACACCGGUGGCGAAGGCGGAUCUCUGGGCCAUUACUGACGCUGAGGAGCGAAAGCGUGGGGAGCGAACAGGAUUAGAUACCCUGGUAGUCCACGCCGUAAACGGUGGGAACUAGGUGUUGGCGACAUUCCACGUCGUCGGUGCCGCAGCUAACGCAUUAAGUGCCCCGCCUGGGGAGUACGGCCGCAAGGCUA